UACGGAGGGUGCAAGCGUUAUCCGGAUUCACUGGGUUUAAAGGGUGCGUAGGUGGGCAGGUAAGUCAGUGGUGAAAUCUCCGGGCUUAACCCGGAAACUGCCGUUGAUACUAUUUGUCUUGAAUAUUGUGGAGGUAAGCGGAAUAUGUCAUGUAGCGGUGAAAUGCUUAGAUAUGACGUAGAACACCAAUUGCGAAGGCAGCUUACUACACAAUGAUUGACACUGAGGCACGAAAGCGUGGGGAUCAAACAGG
rnacentral:rRNA from 1 species